CUGGAAUCCCAUUAUGAUCUCAUCCAUAUGCUUUGCAUAGGGGUUUGUUUGUGCAUAAUUUAAAUUUCCAAACAACACAAUAGGGACUCAUUUCAGAAGGAUGGCCUCUAGAAAGUCAGUGCCUAGUUCCAAAUGAAUUUAAUUGAAUUCUAAGGAUCUAUUAUUCAAAUGUCCACUACAUGCUAAGCACCAUACUAGGUAUCAGGGAAACAAAGGCAAAAGGGAAAUUUUCCCUGCCUUCAUGGAGUUUUUAUUCUAGCAGGGAGAAACAAUUUCAACCCCCAGAAGUGAAAUCAGGAUGUCUCUGACAUCAUUUCAGAAGAGAGGCCACAGAUCUGAUAGGAUGGGUUGAAUGUAGAUCAAAGUUCUAGAAGUUCAGCAAAAUCCUUCAUGGAAAGGCCAGCUAUUCACCUGAAGCCACACAUCACAAAAUCACUGAAUUUCACAUUUGGAAAGAAUUUCAGGGCCAUUCAGGCCAAGUCAUAGCCUCAGGGUUUCUCUCUACAACAGCCCAAACUGUCACCUCUAAAUGGUCAUCUAGUCUUUUCCUGAAGACCUAACAAAUGAAGGCAAACCCAUUUCUUCUCAAGACCCAAACUAGGACACCAGGAGACAUCAUCUUCCUCCUUUCCUUGGUCAAGCCUAGUCAAGCAUCCAUAUUUGGAAGGCAGAUAUUUGGAAAGCAUUUUUGUAAAUGUUUGACAGUGGGAAAAUCAGAGAAGACCCAUAUAAGUAAGAAGAUUGGCCUCAAUAUAAUAAGAAGAGACUUAAAAGAGGCCAAGUGCUUACUGACCACCUGGCUGGCUUUCUUGGUCAAUGAAGGAGGAAAUCAGCUCUAGAUGAAAAGUUACCAUUCAAAUUCCCAAAAUAUGAGAUCCUGGGACUAAGGAAUACCAGAGGAAGCAAAGGAGUAUGUCUUGCAUUAAAGAAGAGCAAGAGGCCAAUGAG
rnacentral:lncRNA from 1 species